rnacentral:lncRNA from 1 species
UCUGAGAUGGACCCGGCAUUUGCCGCCAAGCUCAGGGCCCAGUGCAACGGAGAUGACAACACCAACGUGAACCAAGACGAUGUGACCCCCGACGUCCUGGACAGGCAGUACUACCAGAACGUGAUCGACAGGAAAGUGUUGUUCACCUCAGACGCCGUGCUCAACUCGACUGAAACAAUAGCGCAGGUGACAGAAAACGCGAACAGGGCCGGGGCGUGGGAGAGGAAGUUCGAGAGAGCAAUGGAGAAUAUGGGAAAAAUCGGGAUCAAGACCAGAGGCGACCAGCAAGGCGCAGAGAUCAGGAAGGUAUGCUCCAGAGUCAACAACUAACGUCAGCUAGUAGUAAUGCGGGGUCGUUGGCUGGCUCCAUCCAUGGCGGAAUCGCCCGACGAUGAGAUGUAACUCCGUCUAGCUACUGUCAUUGUUGGUUUUCUCAUACUACUAAAACUCUGUGUGUGCCGGCGCGCGUGCGUGUCUAUGUGUGUCUGUUAAUAAAGGUAUACAGUAAGUACCAAGUAAAUAUUGUGUUCACCUACAAUUCCAUUAUUUUUCUAGUUGUUUCUCACGAUUUUAUAUUGCAUCAAUGUGACUAACAUCUUGUACGUCGAGAAGACCCCCUCCCCCCUUCCCUAUUUUUUCAUCAUGCCAAGCCCAGAAAUCUUCAUGUUCGGCAAUGUUUAAUGGUAUAUUACAAAUGGCAAACAUGUUCGUACGUUGCAACGGAGAAAAACUUCUUUUCUGAAACUACCUUUGUGUUCUCCUAUAAAAAGUGCCAGAAUCAAGAUGUGGUAGGGAAAUUAAUAUGCAAACUUUGAUGUUUUUACUAUUAUUUUUGGCUCACAUUAUAAGCAUCUACAAAAAUCACCUCAUGCAUUGGUGUCCAGGAAGACGGAUCUUUGAUAAAAUAACCAAGAAUACUUAUAUACUAACAUAAGUAAGAUAUUACUCUCCCCAAUCCAUAAUAAUUGUUGAAGUUGUACUAAAGCUGCAACAAUUAAUAUGAAUAGGAAGGGAUAUAUAUUUUAGCACAAGAAAAUUUCAAUUGUCGCAAAAGUUAUAACAAACCUAAAUAUAUUAUAUUUUGAACAACAUUGUAACUAUCCAAAUAUCUUUUGCAAGUAACAUCUUGUACAUAUAUGCAUGUAGGCAAAGUUCUAAAAGAUCCUGGUCAAAUCCAUAUUGAGACGUGUUGGUAUUUUGUAACCGGCCGUGGACAUGUUGUCACUAGUAGAAAACAUGGCUAUAGUUUCUGUUGGGGAGGGCUAUAGCCAACCGGAGCUAAUAAUUAGAGACUAAAGCCCCUUAGUCCCGGUUCAUGUUCAACCGGGACUAAAGGAGCUUCACGUGGCCGCUGUCGGACGCCCAAGCAGGAGGACCUUUAGGGUUAUCAACCGGGACUAAAAGGUCGUGUUUUCAUUUUCUUUUAUAUUUAUAUUGUAUUUUCAUGUGGUUACACAUAUUUAUAUACAACAUCAGUAUAAAUUAUGAAAGAACAACAUCCAACAUCAGUACAAAUUAGAUCGAUGCGAUAGACCAAAUUAAAUUAGAGGAAAAUACGAUAUUGGUCUAUUGCAUCCAUCUAAUUUGUACUAGUAUAUGUCAUAUAACAACUCAUCAUCAUCAUCUUAAUCAACUCAUCAUCAUUCAACAUCCAACAACUCAUCAUCAUCUUAAUCAACUCCUCAUCAUUGUGGUUAUCACAAGGUUGAAACACUAAUUAUUACUACUCUCUCUUAGGUAAAAAAAAAAGCAUAAUAAAGGCAAGCUCCAACAUCUCCCCAUUGAAGAACACAGAUCAACCUAUCUCCAACUUGUGGGAUGCGCAAGUAUUCCUCUCCAAGUGGUGUCGUGGAUACUUGUAUUCCAUUUCUCCAUCCUUUGAUUUUCAGGGUUUCUUCACUUUGAGAUAUCCUGUAUUUAUCAUUGUAAUUAAUCGGGAGUGGCCGUAAGCUAACCAUAUGCAAAUUACCGGUGGCAAACAUCCAUUUAGACACGGUCUCUCAUGGAAGUACAUGUUGAAGAACAUAAGUAAUAAUAACAUAGUUAGCUAUAUGACGAAGCGUAGAACCCUUUGUCUCGGGCCGCAAUGUAUUUAUAUCACAAUAUCUUGGAGUACAAGGCAAGAUCUUAUCAAGAGGUUACAUGAGAUAAGGGAGAUUAGAGAAGAGAUAGAAAAGGGUUUAAACUACAACUGUAUCCUAUACAAUUGUCUAACACUCCCCCUCAAUCUAAACCCUAUUUAGCAAGGUUGAGAUUGUACUUAAAAUCAUCUAGCCUCCUCAUUGUGAGAGGUUUGGUGAACCCAUCAGCAAGUUGAUCACCUGUUGGAAUGAACCUUAUAUCAAGUAAUUUGUGUGUUACUCUUUCUCUGACAAACUGAAAAUCAACCUCAAUAUGUUUUGUUCUUACAUGAAAAACAGGAUUAGCUGAGAGAUAGGUUGCACCAAGAUUGUCACACCAUAAUCUGGCAGCCUGAGGCACCUUGAUUCCAAGUUCAUGUAGCAAAGUCUGAAUCCACAUUACCUCAGUUGUUGCAUUUGCUAAAGCCUUAUAUUCAGCCUCAGUACUAGACCUUGAGACUGUUGCCUGCUUCCUUGCACUCCAUGACACAAGAUUUGUUCCCAGAAAUACAGCUAAACCACCUGUUGAUCUUCUGUCAUCAGCACAUCCUGCCUAGUCUGCAUCAGAGUAGGCUGACACAAGCAUAGAUGGAGAUUUUACAAUUUGAAGACCAAGUCCUUUUGUAAACUUCAGAUACCUCAAAAUUCUUUUUACUGCUGUCCAAUGAGAAUUAGUAGGAGCAUGUAAGUAUUGACAUACUUUGUUGACAGAAUAUGAAAUAUCAGGUCGUGUGAGAGUUAAAUACUACAAUGCUCCUACAAUACUCCUAUAGUUUGUUGCAUCAUCUGGCCCAAGUGCUUCUCCACUCUCAACGGUGAGUUUUUCUGAAGUAGAGAUAGGUGUACUAACUGGCUUACAUUUUUCCAUACCUAUUCUUUUGAGAAUAUCAGUAGUAUACCUUUCUUGUGUAAGAAGUAUACCAUCUUUUAUCUUCUUAAUUUACCUCAUUUCCAAGAAAGUAGCGAAGAUCUCCUAGAUCUUUAAGAGCAAACUCUAGCUUUAAAUCUUUAAGCAGACAAGUUGUAGCAUCUGGACUUGAGCUGGCAACAAUUAUAUCAUCAACAUAAACAAGAACAAAUAUAGUAACAUUGUUCUUACUGUAGAAGAAUAAGGAGGUAUCUGCCUUUGAUGGUGUGAACCCAAGUUUUUGUAACUGUGUACUUAACCUUGAAUACCAGGCUCUUGGGGCCUGUUUCAACCCAUACAAAGCUUUAUCCAACUUGCAGACAUGAUGUGGUGUGUUCUUGUUUUUAUACCCUGGUGGUUGCCGCAUGAACACUUCUUCCUCAAGAACACCAUGAAGAAACACGUUCUGGACGUCUAGCUGUCGUAGGCUCCAACCUUUGGAAAUAGCAAUAGACAGUACAAGUCGAAUAGUGGCUGACUUAAUAACAGGGCUGAAAGUAUCCUCAUAAUCAAUACCAAACCUUUGUUUAAACCCUUUUGCAACCAGUCUAGCUUUGUAUCUGUCUAUACUACCAUCAGCUCUUUUUUUAUUUUAUAUACCCAUUUGCAAUCUAUCACAUUUGCACCUUUCUUUGGUAAGACUAACCGCCAUGUUUUAUUUUGAAUCAGUGCAUCAUACUCAACAUCCAUGGCUUUCUUCCAUUCCUUGUGAGCAAGGGCAUCAUGCAAAGUUAUUUGUUCACCAGUACUUGUGAGGAAAGCACGUUUGUGUGUGUCAUAUCUGAUUGUACCGUCUGUAUAUUUCUUAUCCUCGACAACACCUGACCGAGACCGUGUAUGACGAGGAGAAGGAGGAGCUAGAGUUGCUGCAGGUCUGUCCACAGAAGAGUCAGCCGUAGAGGAACCGAUCAAACCGGUCGGGCUGGCCCCCGCACCAACAGUGCCAGAAGGCGGGCCACUGUUGGUGGAGCCAAUGGGCGCCGCGCUUGGGAUCUCGUCGAAGGCGGCGCUGGCGCGGGUGGGCGCCGCACGUGGGGCGCUGUCGGUUGGCUCGGGAGGAUCCUCCUGGGAUCCGCCGACGCGGGUGGGCUCCACACGGGGGGGGGGGCGNNNNNNNNNNNNNNNNNNNNNNNNNNNNNNNNNNNNNNNNNNNNNNNNNNNNNNNNNNNNNNNNNNNNNNNNNNNNNNNNNNNNNNNNNNNNNNNNNNNNNNNNNNNNNNNNNNNNNNNNNNNNNNNNNNNNNNNNNNNNNNNNNNNNNNNNNNNNNNNNNNNNNNNNNNNNNNNNNNNNNNNNNNNNNNNNNNNNNNNNNNNNNNNNNNNNNNNNNNNNNNNNNNNNNNNNNNNNNNNNNNNNNNNNNNNNNNNNNNNNNNGGGGGGGGGGGGGGCUGUCGGCCACGUGGGCGCCGCUGGCGAUUGGCGCGUGGGAGCCGCCGAUGCGGGUGGACCCCGCAGGUGGGGUGCUGUCGGCCACGCGGUUGCGGGCGGUUGGCGCGGGAGAAUCCGCCUGGGACUCCUUGUCGGGCAGACUGCGCCGGGUGACAACCUCGGAUCGCACGCCUGCAGGAGCUGCAGCAGCCAGCGGAUCAGCUUGGAUUUCCGCGCGAGUCUUGGCUGCAUCUGGGUACAUGAAAUAAUGCCCUGUAGCUGCAUUUUCAAUGUCAGUUUCAACAUAUUCCAUGAUAUUUUUCACAUGAUUAGUCCUAAUUAAUUCACCCCCGUGAUUAGAAGAUGAAAUAGGCUCGGAAAGAAGGGAGAUUUCGGCACGCAAAAGAGCUCCCGCAUUAGGAUGGAGUUUAGCAAAGGGAAACAUGGUUUCAUCAAAAAUAACAUCACGGGAAAUAUAGAUACGACCGGAUGAGAUGUGUAGACACUUGUAGCCUUUAUGGAGAUUACUAUAACCAAGGAACACACAUUGUGUAGACCGAAAUUCGAGUUUAUGAUGAUUAUACGGACGAAGGUUUGGGUAACAUGCACACCCAAAGAUUUUGAGAGAACUGUAGUCUGGUUUUUGAUGAAACAAACGUUCCAAUGGAGUAGUGUUGCCAAUUACUCGACUAGGCAAACGAUUUAUAAGGUAUGUGGCCGUGAUAAAGGCCUCAUCCGAAUAUUUAAGUGGCAUGGAUGCGUGAGCUAGAAGGGAUAGGCCAACUUCAACAAUAUGACGGUGUUUUCGUUCGGCCGAACCAUUUUGUUGAUGAGCAUGGGGACAAGAGACAUGGUGAAUAAUCCCAAUGCUACGAAAGAAGGAGUUAAGUUUCUCAUACUCUCCUCCCCAGUCACUUUGAACUGCAAGGAUCUUUUUUUCAAAUUGUCUCUCAACAAGUGUUUGGAAUUCUUGAAAGACAGAGAAAACUUCAGAUUUGUUUUUAAGCAAAUAGAUCCAUGUGAAUUUGCUAUAAUCAUCGAUGAAACUGACAUAAUAUUUCUUUCUACCAAAAGAAUCUCUUGGAUGACCCCAUACAUCACUGAAAAUAAGCUCUAAAGGAGCAUGAGACACACUAUUUGACAAGGGAUAGGGAAGUUGGUGACUCUUGGCACAUUGACAAGCUUCACAAACAGACUCUGUAUUGGAACUACUUGACAAUGCAAGAUUGCCUUUAUCGACUACUUGCUUAACUAUAUUUGAAGAAGGAUGCCCUAAUCUUUGGUGCCAUCUGGCUAGUGACGGCUUGGUGGCAUAAUAAACUUGGCGACGACGCUGUCGAUUAAGACUCUUGAUGUGAUGGGGUAUAGUCCUCCAAUGCAUCUACCGCGAUGGAUGAGUUCCCUCGUUGCCCGAUCUUUAAUGAAAAAAUAGGUAGGAUGAGUUUCAAAGAAAAUAUUGUUGUCGGAUGUCAAACGGGACAUGGAAGCUAGAUUCUUGUCGGCUUGUGGAACAUGGAGAACAUCUUUAAGAACAAGAUCACGUUUGAGGCUAGGGGAAUUAAUGGAGGAUUGACCAAUGUGAAGAAUAUCCAUACCUCCACCACUUGCAGUGUGAAUCUGGUCGUUGCCGUGGUACCUCUCCCUGAGAGCCAGCUUUUCUAGCUCAUUCGUGACAUGAUCUGUGGCGCCGGAGUCGGCGUACCAAACCGUCUCACCAUCGGCUCCACCGUGUUUCCGUGUGGCGGCAGUAGCUUGCCGUGUUUCGGGCGUCUAGUCCUCAUCAUACCGGUGCCAGCAGUCAAUGACUUCGUGGCCCGGCUUCUUGCAAAGCUGGCAUCUCGGUCGGUGAUUGUUGUUGUAGCCGCCGCCGUUGUAGCCGUUGUUGUAGCCACCGCCGCGAUCACCGCCGCCGCGGUCACCACCACCACCAGGGCGAGCCUGGCCCUGGUUUCCGGCGCGUCCUCCACCGCCGUUUUCGCGUCCGCGCCCUUGCUGUCCACGCCCACGACCACAUCUGCGGGAGGCAGCGUUGAUAGAGGAUUGGCGUAGAUUGGUUCCAUGCAGCAUACUGAGCCGGGCGUCGAAGCUCAGAAGCUGGCUGUAGAGCUCCUGAACCGUGACCGGUUCGACCCGCGCGGCCAAGGCCGAGAUCACAGGGUUGUAGUCGAUGUCGAGGCCGGCGAUGACGUGAGAGAUGAUCUCGGCAUCUCCGAGCGGUGCACCGGCGCAGGCAACUUCAUCUGUAAGGGUUUUGAUCUUUCCAAGGUAUUCUGCCAUGGUUAGAUUACCUUUUUGUAGAUUGGUGAGGGCCAUCCUUGUGUUGAUCUUUUGGGCUUGUGUUUGUGCAGCAAACAUGGUAUGGAUGGAAGUCCAUACCUCGACCGGCGUCUGGAGCAUCACCACUUGCGCGAGAACUUCUCGAGAGAGAGAUCCCAUGAGGUAUCCUUGUACCUGCUGUUGCUGCGCGUACCAGAUUGAUCUGGCGUAGUUGAAGACCUGCUCUUCCUUCCCAUCCUUGGUGAUGGCGAUGGUGGCAGGAGGCGCCGGGCUUGCGGCGUCGAGGAAGUGUUCCAUCUGUACCCCCUUGAUCUGGGGUAGCACGACGGCCUUCCAAAGAAGGAAGUUCGUCCUAGUGAGCUUCUCUGAUGGAGGUGGACCGAGAGAGAGCGAGGUAUUGGAGGAGGAUGUGGGCGCGACGGAUGUAAUCUGGGUGGAUGCAAUGGUGGGGAGCGCGGGGCCUGUCAUCGUCGACUCUCUACGAUCGAUGGAGCGGGUUCUCUUUUCGGUAGCUAGGCGUCGAGAGGAAGGGCUCUGAUGACCAUAUGACGAAGCGUAGAACCCUUUGUCUCGGGCCGCAAUGUAUUUAUAUCACAAUAUCUUGGAGUACAAGGCAAGAUCUUAUCAAGAGGUUACAUGAGAUAAGGGAUAUCAGAGAAGAGAUAGAAAAGGGUUUAAACUACAACCGUAUCCUAUACAAUUGUCUAACAAGCUAAACUAGUUUCGCUUAAGAACAAUGUAUGAAAAAGAUGGACUAGUUACGCAAUGCUAAAAAAUUCUUACAAAGUUGUCUAAAGUGAUGUUAUAAGGGCUCAAUUGGUGUACUAGUGGCACAUAUCCAUGGUAAAUGUUGCCACACAUGUAAUAAUUAGCAUGAUACUUAACAUCAUGAAUAAAUGAAAUGAGAUGAUUUUUCUUCAACCAAGUAAGCUCGGAGCCAUAACUGUAGUAGGUCCGAUCUAUUAUCUCUCGUGCAGUUCUUGUCGCACGGAAAUAGGCUAAUAAUUGAAAAUAAUGAAAUUUAGUCAGGAUGAGUACGGGAUACUAUUCAAUAAUCAAUAUAAAUUACCUAACAAAUUUGUUUACCAAUGCACCUCGAGGUAGAACUGGAAUCAAGUCAUCCUUCGCAUGCAUCAAAAUUCCUAUAUUAUUAUCACGAACAUCAUCAUUAUCAGGAUCGAAGGCAAUGUUCAUGUCCUCAUUCAACACAUAUGCCUUGCAGAAUGCUCUCCAAUUAAAACAAUCAAAAUAUGUAUGAUCUUCUUCAUUUUUUUACUUUGAUAACAAAAGUGAAAUGUUCCGUUCUUAGGUGAGCUAUCUUAGGCAUUGUAAUAUCGUUCUCUUUGAAAUGAAACUUGUUCAAGACAACAAAUCUUGCAUGGCAGGAAAGGCACUAGUCGAAUUGUAUAAAAUAAAAUUAAAGGUUAACUAAAGCAAAAAAGCACACAUACUUCUUCAGUAACAAAAAAAUACAUGUUGUCUUUACAUACCGUAAUAAUUUCAAAUUUAUCCGUCAGCUUGACAAUGAAGGAUGUACCGUUGUCUAGGUGAGGAUAGAAGUUGCAUAUACACGUGUCAUCCUAGCACAAAAGGGACGCAUGGAUCCUAUCAUCAUCGGACCACGCCAUUUUCUAUGUUCAUGAUUCUAAGAUCAAAAAUCGACUGCAAUUUUUUUCUUAAUGCUUAGCGAUUCGAAGAUUAACAUUUUAGUAUUUCAUGAAAAAGCUGAAUUAUAUAUAGUAGUCAGCCGUCGAUGUGGAGAACUUAAUGCCUAAUAAGAAGUAACCUAGUAUUUUUUUUACGUGAACAUUAGCACAAAUACCGGAGGAGCCUAAUAAGAAGUAACCUAGUAAUUCACAUCAACAUUACUCCCUCCAUUUCUAAAUAUAAGACUUUUUAGAGAUUACACUAUGGACUAAAUACGGAUCAAAAUGAAUUAAUCUACAUUCUAAAAUAUGUAAAUUUUCUCAAAUUUCUAUAUAAAAUUUCUAAAAUGAGCUGCGUGGGGCCGAACUGCGCUGCGGUGGGCGGGGGUGACCAUCGGAGGAGGAGGCAGAGGUGGGGUCGGCGGUGGCGUUGCCGUGGGCGGGGCGAGUAGCGGAAGCGGAGGCGGGGCCGGCAGCGGCGCUACGAUGGGUGGGGCCGAGCAUCGAAGGCGGGGCCGACAGGGACAUAUGAUCUUAGGAAGGGGGAGGGGCCUUAUCGGUGUUGCUGAGGAGAGGGGUGGCGACGAUGACGGAGGAGACCGGCGAGGAGGAGGGCGACAUCGAGGAGCGGUAACGGCGACGACGAUGGCGAUUUUGGGCAGCCUCGCGGCGUCGAAGUGACCCUUCUCCCGCGCGGUGGCUAGCAGCACGAGAAGAGGCACUUAUAUACCGGGACUAAGGGACCUCGCCUUUUCGGCGGCGUAAAUUCCGCGCACGAAGGUGGACCUUUAGUCCCGGUUGGUGAUAUCAACCGGGUCCGGGUUGGUGAUACGAAGCUGGACUAAAGGUUGCUUUUUAGACUUUUAUUUGUUUUUCUAAAAAGUAUGGUUUCUAGAUUUUGAAUAACUUUUAGAAUAUUUAGAGCUUUUGAGUGAAUAUUUUUACUUUAGGUCAAAAAAAUUGUAAACUCUUAGUGCGAGUAGUUUUCAAAAUUGAAUAGUUUAAAUUUGAAUUCUUUAAAAAAAUUGUGAAUCAUUAGUUUGUGAAUAACUUUAGUUUAAAAAUAGAUUUUUGAGUGAUUAUCUUUUCCUUCUGUUUAAUAUUAAUGUGUUUUAUGAGUAUGUUCAAUUUGGGUAUCUUUAGGAUAUUUUAAAAUAUGUGUUUUAAUCAAAAAAAUAUGUUUCACUCUUUUAGUUUUGUACAUUUUUCCUUUGUUUUAAUUAUUUGAGAGAUUCAAUUUUAUAGAUUGAAAUUAGUUCUUGUAAAAUACAUAACAAUUUGAAACUAAACCAAAUGAGUUGAUUUAAAUUUCUGUGGAUUCAUCUUGAAGAUUUCUAUCAACUAUAUAGUAUCAUUUUGACAAGAAAUUGCAUAAUUGAUUUUGCACUUAUUAAUUUGAAAAGCACUAUAAAUGAACUCUGAAAAGAUUGAAAUUUGACAUGGUAUCAUCAUUUCACGCAUAUAGCAUGUGCUAAAAAGUUGAGAGAGUUACGGCAAAAACUAGAUGCACUUCGUAUACAAACUAGACAAUAUCUUUUGAAGUAUGAGAGUUUCACACAAAUACUCGUUUGUUACAAAGGCAUUUCAUUUUUUUUAAGCUUACUUGAACUUCAGUCUUUUUGUGCGUUCAAUAUGCAUCAUUCAAAGCCACCUCAUCUCUGACUUCAUUUUCUAUUUUCAUGCAUUUAAUGUUUUUUUAAGCUAAAUGACCCUGAUAUUUAAAAAACACUACAAAUGAUAUCUGAAAAGGUUGAAAUCUGGUAUGGUAUCAUCAUUUCACCCACAUAGAAUGUGUUAAAAAGUUGAGAGGGUUACGAUAAAAACUUAAUGUACUUUGUGUACAAACUAGACAAUCUCUUUCGAAGUAUCAAGGUUUCAGACGAAUACGCAUCCAUUACAAAGGCAUUUAAUUUUUAAGCUUAUUUCAACUCAGACUUUUUGUACAUUCAAUAUGCACCAUUCAAAUAACCCUCAUCAAUUUUCAACCCUUUGUGACUUCAUUUGCUAUUUUAAUGCAUUUAAUCAUUUUUUGUGCUAAAUAACCCUGAAAUUGAAAAGCACUACAAAUGAAAUCUGAAAAGGUUGAAAUUUGGCAUGGUAUCAUCAUUUCACCCACAUCCGAGAAAAGCACUACAAAGUCCGGAAACUCGCUAGAGAAGAAAGUGAUGACGGUGAAGCUGGUCACAUUCCAGAGUGGGAUCUUGGGAUAUAAAAGUUUUUCUUCGCGUGCACCCCUUUGUGUCGUAACCAUGGUCAGUCUUCAUCAUUUAAUAGGAUGCUUGGGUCAGCCUUCACUUUGAAGGAAGGAAAUUCAUGAAACUAUGUGGUGCUUUGGCUCAUCGUAUGAUGUAGUCACUUCCUUAUCUUUUCUUUUUCUAGGUUUGGUAGACAAGUCCUUCACAUAGAAUACCUGCGCCAUGGCAUUGGCUAGGAUGAAUUCAUCUGUGUACCCAAGAUUGUUGAGAUCCAGUGUUGUCAUUCCGUAUCGCUCGUGUUCCAUUAUCCCGACUCCUGUCAGAUUGACCCAUUUGCACUGAAACAAAGGGACCUUAAAAUCACGUCCAUAGUGAAGUACCCAUAUCUCCGCUAUGUAACCAUAAUUUGUGUCCUUUGUCCUAUUGGUGUUUGUUGCAUCAAAGCGGACACCACUGUUUUGGUUGGUUCUCUUUUUAUCUUGGAUGGUCGUGUAAAAUGUAUUCUCAUUUAUCUCAUACCCUUGGAAAGUCAAUACAGUCGAAGAUGGUGUCCUAGCCAAAAGGUACAAGUCAUCCCCAACAGUGUUGGUACCCAUGAGAUGUGUUUGCAACUAACCGCCGAAAAUCCCCAUGUGUUCACGUCUAAUCCAGUCAUCACACUACUCCGGAUGUUUGGAGCGUAGAAUAUUCUUGUGUUCACUGAUAUACGGGGCCAUCAAGGUAGAAUUUUGUAGAACUGUGUAGUGUGCUUGCGCCCAAGAAUGCCCGUCCCUACAUAUUAUCGAAUCCUUUCCUAAUGUGCCUUUUUCACUCAGUAUCCCCUCAUGCCGCGAUUCAGGCACACCAAUCUGCUUAAGGUCCGAAAUAAAGUCAACACAAAACUCAAUAACCUCCUCUGUUUCAUGGCCCUUGGAAAUGCUUCCUUCUGGCCUAGCAUGGUUGUGAACAUAUUUCUUUAAGACUCCCUUGAACCUCUCAAAGGGAAACAUAUUAUGUAAAAAUACAGGACCCAGUAUGGAUAUCUCUUCGACUAGGUGAACUAGGACGCGUGUCAUGAUAUUGAAGAAGGAUGGCAGAAACACCAACUCAAAACUGACAAGACAUUGCACCAAAUCAUUCUGUAACCUUGGUAGGAUUUCUGUAUCGAUUACCUUCUAAGAAAUUACAUUGAGGAAUACACAUAGCUUCACAAUGGCUAAUCGAACAUUUUCUGGUAGAUGCCCCCUCAAUGCAAUCGAAACCAAUUGUGUCAUAAUCAUGUGGCAGUNNNNNNNNNNNNNNNNNNNNNNNNNNNNNNNNNNNNNNNNNNNNNNNNNNNNNNNNNNNNNNNNNNNNNNNNNNNNNNNNNNNNNNNNNNNNNNNNNNNNNNNNNNNNNNNNNNNNNNNNNNNNNNNNNNNNNNNNNNNNNNNNNNNNNNNNNNNNNNNNNNNNNNNNNNNNNNNNNNNNNNNNNNNNNNNNNNNNNNNNNNNNNNNNNNNNNNNNNNNNNNNNNNNNNNNNNNNNNNNNNNNNNNNNNNNNNNNNNNNNNNNNNNNNNNNNNNNNNNNNNNNNNNNNNNNNNNNNNNNNNNNNNNUCAUAAUCAUGUGGCAGUUAUGAGACUAGAUUUUCCAAUGCUUACAAAUUAAGUAACGACGUGCUAAGAAGCUACAACAUCUGCAAUGUAUUUCAGUAGUUGUGACAUUGGAAUAAUGUGGACGUCAUAGAUACAGAUCAUAAUGCCGACGCACAACAUAAUUCGACUCAUAAGUAUUUCAAAUAUUGUUGGUGUCAUCUUCAACGUCACCACUAUUUCUUAACUAUGGCGCCAUAUUGAUGGCGUCGGAUGUCCAAAUGAGUAAGGUCAUUUUUAUCAGGCCAUAGGUAGGCUUUUCUGUACAAAUGCACACGACCAUUCUCGGGCCCGCGUGUUAGCCAGCCAAUCAUAUCUCGUCGGUCCCAUUUAAUCCAAACGUGUGGAAGCCCCCCCCCCCCAGNNNNNNNNNNNNNNNNNNNNNNNNNNNNNNNNNNNNNNNNNNNNNNNNNNNNNNNNNNNNNNNNNNNNNNNNNNNNNNNNNNNNNNNNNNNNNNNNNNNNNNNNNNNNNNNNNNNNNNNNNNNNNNNNNNNNNNNNNNNNNNNNNNNNNNNNNNNNNNNNNNNNNNNNNNNNNNNNNNNNNNNNNNNNNNNNNNNNNNNNNNNNNNNNNNNNNNNNNNNNNNNNNNNNNNNNNNNNNNNNNNNNNNNNNNNNNNNNNNNNNNNNNNNNNNNNNNNNNNNNNNNNNNNNNNNNNNNNNNNNNNNNNNNNNNNNNNNNNNNNNNNNNNNNNNNNGCCCCCCCCCCCCAACACUCACCCAUCCGUCCCACCCCUGUCCUUUUUAAUGCCUAGCUGAUGUGCGUGGAUAUGAAGGUCAUCUUUUACACACUUCUCUGCUCCAGCAUAAUACUUGCGGGCUUCCAAUCCAUCCCAUGGACGCAUUUGACGGCCGGUAUUUUUGAAGGAAAUGUAAUAUAUUCUAAAUUUAACUUUAAAUUAUUUUCAUUCCUUGUAAAAGUUUAAAUUCAAUUUUUUAUGCAAUGUGUGUAAUGCAUAUAGCCCGUUGGAUGCACCCACCACUAGUAGAAAAUUGCCCAUUUGUCCCGGUUCCAGAGGCCCAUUAGCCCCGGUUUCGGAACCGGGACUAAAGGGUCGGGACUAAAGCCCAAAACCUUUAGUCCCGUUCUCUUUACCAACCGAGACAGAAGGGCCUCCACGUGGCCUCUGCGGGGAGCCCAGGCAGGAGGGCCUAUAGUCCCGGUUGGUAAUACCAACCGGGACCAGGAGGUGAGUUUUUUUUUAAUAGGGAGUGUGUUGGGGGUUUUGAAGGGUUAAUUUAGGGGUUUCAUAUUGUGUUAGCGAGCUAAUAGAGAGAAGUGUCCUCUCUUUCUCUGUGAUGUAGAAGUAACGACUUUAGCAAGUUAUCCUCGGUCUCUUAGGUAUUGUGGCGCACCGACCAUUCAUUUACGACAUGUGGGAUAAUGAACCCAACGUCGAAGAUUCAUCCACACAUGAAUCUAAUCCUCUUUCCUUCCCCCAAUGAUAUAAUAACCAAUCAUGAUCAUAAUAACAAAUCAUCAUGAUCAACAUCAUCAUCAUAUUAAUAUAAAAACUCUUGCUUGACUAUAGCUAAUAAUCAUCAUAGCCAUUACCACCAACACUAUUUAAUCAUCAUUUUCGUCAAUGAGACAUCAUAUAACAAAAGUUGGUCACUAGUCAUAAUCACAACUCCUCCUCCCCAUCAUCAUCAACUAUAACAUAUUGUAGCACAUAAUAACACAUUGUCCCUAGGACCUACCCCUCUCUCAUAGGACUUACUCUACCCUCUCUUAGAUACAAUAUCAUAAAACAAGAUAGGCCCCGACUCUCCAUUAUGGAGAAUAGAGAUCAUCUUGUCUUCCAUUCUUGGCCUACGCACAAUGUUGCUUCCAAGCAGCUCUCUACGAUUGAUCAUACAUUUUUUUCAAUCUUUGUUUGUCAUUUCAUCGGUUUUAGAAAUCCGGUAUGGACAGGAGUGAUGCAAAUACCUAGGCUGACCUGGCCAUGCUGGUCGUAUGCUCAUAACAUCAACGCCACCUCUUGGAAACAUCAGAUGAGGCACACAAUCUUAUGGGAUUUUCUGUUGAAAAACAUAGUAUUAACUUUGUAGCUAGCAAUGUAAUUUAGUUUUACAAGAAUUUAUGCAAAAUAUGCACGGAUGUCGUAAUAGUAGAAAAUUUUACCAUGCAAUCUCCAUGCAUGUUACCGUAGUUCACCACGUUCACUAGUGGCACGUAUUGACCAUAAUGUAGGGGAGUUUGCUGAUAGGUAUUGUAAUUCUCAAGAUCAUUGAUAAAUGCGACAAGAUGAUGUUUCUCCUUAUAAGUUAAUUCUGCUUCAUCAUUGUAGUAAUAGGUUCUGUCUACCAUCUUUUGUACAUUUUUUGAAGAACGGAAAUAAGCCGUCAAAGGAAAUAAGUUGUCAACUAUUUUUAAAUAAACAAUAUAAAUUACUUAAUAAAUAUGGUUGAGAAAUUCACAUAAUGGUAGAACUGGAGUCGUCUGCACAUUGACCGAUAUAUCGAUAUUACCUUCAAUUUCAUCUUUUGAACGAAUAUUAAAGGUGAUAAGCAUAUUAGGCUCAAAUGCAUAAGCCUUGCAUAGUGCUACCCAAGUUUUGCUAUCAAAAAAGGAGUAGGUGUAUGCAUUGUACAACUUUACGGCAAAAGUAUAACUAUGCUCGGUCCUCAAGUGAACUAUCUUUACCUUCAUAGUAUUUUCAGUAUUGAAACCAAUCUUAUCCAAGACAUAAAUUCUUGCAUGGCAGGGAUACGCUAGUAGAAUAGUAAAAAAUAAAAAUUAUAAGUUGAAGCAAAAGAAGUCAUGCUUAAUUAUGAAAAAAGACUUGUCGUUGUGACUUACUGUAUCCACUUCGAAGUCCUGAUCCAACAUGAUGCUGAAGCGCCUAUCAUCAACUAGGUGAGGCGUGUCGCAUAGGCCGCGCUCGUCUUGGCAGUAUUCGCACAUAGCGAAUUUCCUGGUAUUUUUCAUGCUUUUACUGAUUUUUUGGAGCUAAAUGACCCAGAAAUUAAAAAGCACUACAAAUGAACUCUUAAUAGGUUGAAAGUUGGCAUGGUAUCAUCAUUUCAUCCACAUAGCAUGUGCUAAAAACUUGGCAGGGUUGCCGCAAAAACUGGAUGCACUUCGUGUACAAAUCAGACAAUCUCUUUCGAAGUAUGAGGGUUUCAUACGAAAACUCAUCCGUUACAAAAGGCAUUUCAUAUUUUUGAACUUAUUUCAUUUUUUCCACAUGGAUGCGUGUAUUAAAAAACCAUUACAACAUAUCAUGAAUAGAGAAGUGAUCAAAUUAAUAAAAAUUCAUCAUCACAUUAAAGCCAAAGUAUAGUAGUGACCAAAAUAAAUACAUAACGUUCUUACAUAGUUCUCAUUAUUGAACAACAUAUAGCUCUCUAGAGCAUCUAAUUAGAACAUACAUUGAAACUACUAAAUUUAAAUGCAACAAUAAAUGCGAUCAUAACCGUAACUAAGUUACAAAUUGAUCCAACGGCAUAAUGAUACCAAGCCUCAAUAUGAAUGACAUAUUUUCUAAUGUUUCUAAUCUUCAAGCGUAUUGCAUUCAUCUUGAUCUUGUGAUCGUCACGUACAUCGGCAACAUCUAACUCCAAUAUCAUCUUCUCCUCUUCAACUCUUUUUAUUUUUUCUUUCAAGUUACUGUUUUCUUUUUCAACCAAAUUUAACUUCUCGGCAAGAAUUUGUAUGUCGGUUCGAAUUUCUGGUUCACAUACCUCCUAUAUAUAAAAUCUAUGUCACGUUGGUCGGCAUAAUUUUCAUAAACACUAAAUAAAACAAAUAGUUAUAAAAGAUAAUAUAUACCAUAUCCGAAUCAUAGACAGGACGAGGGACGACGGAGACGGAUACCAAAACCAUCGCACUAUAUAAUAACAAACAAUAAUAGAAGUAAGAAAAUUACACAAGUAUCUAUCUAAAUCAUACAAGUAAGAACUUUUUUCUUUUAGAAAGAAGAUAAGAAGAAGAGACUAACCACGGUGGUGCCGACGUCGAGAUGGGCGCGGGCGAUCGACGGUGGUGAGGACGGGGACGGGACACGGACGGACCGCCAAAGCUACACAAAACUAGAGGAAAAUGGAGGUUGGACAAGGAGCUUCGAGAGGAGAAAGCUUAAGUAUGGCUUGGGCAUUUGAUCAAACACCUCAUGUGCAUAGGAGGUGAGCUAGAGCACCACAAAGAUCUUCCACGACCGGCCAAAAAAACAGAGCAGUGCACUGCUCUGCUCACGGUCGAGUGGUAUAUAUAGGCCAAGCAUUGGUGCCGGUUUGUGAACGAAACCGUGAGUGAAAGACAACAUUUGAUCCGGGAUCCAGCCAAAAACCGAGACCAAUUGUUGUGGGCCAGGAGCGAGACACAUUCGUCCCGGUUCGUGUCUAGAACCGGGACCAAAAGGGUCAAACAAACCGGGACCAAUGACCCACGAGGCAUGGCCGGCGCCCUGGCCUCACAAACUGGGACCGAUGCACCAUGGAUCCUGGUUCGUAAGUGAACCGGGACUAAUGAAAUUUCAUCAAGUAAACCAAAACUCUUUUUUCUUCUAGUGCACGAACCGUAGGGGACGUCCGUGUCUAUGUAGCCCACCCAAAUCCAAAUGCCAAAUGGACGAAAAAUGGCGUUGAAGUCGGCCUAAUCCUACUCAGUGACACUCGCUGGCGCGUGGCAAACUCAACUUGAAUAAUGCACGAAACGUGCAUUGUCCAGGAAAGAGCAGCGUCAGGGGCAACUUGUCUUUUUAAGUCAGUAAGUCAUCGCUAAUCACGCGGUAUCCGAGUUUUUUAUGCUUGUUUUGCCUAAUACAGUAGGUUGCAAAGUGAGUAUAUACUCUGCAAGCGCAGCGCAGGUUCGGCCGUGAUCCAAAGGUCAAACGAAACCUGCAUGCCGGAGUUAAUAUAGCCGGUUAGCAGCUGUGUAGUACGUAGAGUACUACUCAAUGAACAUGCCGGCGAGGACAGCACAUCAUGGCUGCAUAUGGAAUGGUUGUUGACGUUUUCCACUCAAUGGACAAGUCCGGCGAGGACAGCGAGGCGGAGGAACUGUUCCCAUGCAGCAUUCAACGGUCAACCUUGUCAUCACGGACACCGGCACCGCCAAAUCAGCACCUCUCGAGGCCGAUCAAACGGCUCAGACAAAGCGCAACUUGUCCCUCGACGAGAAGAGAGACAUGGGACAUGGCAUCAAACGUCGCCGCUCAGCCGCUUCAGCUCGUGCUGUACGCGCGCCCGCUCCGGUGGAAAAUCGCCUCCAUCGCAACAUGCGCCGCCCACGAAACGCGGCGUGCGGCGUGCCCAUACGUCGCUGUCCAUUGCCUUCGUCGUCGUCGGUCCCGGACGACCUAUAAAUAUGCCACCAGUAACCCAGCCGGAGAAGACAACACACGACGUACACGGCCAUCUCCCUAGUGACUAGUGCGAAAGGAAGAUGGCGACUAAACUCGCAGCGCUCAUCGUCUUGGCUGCGUUCCUCGCCGGGCCAGCGGCGUGCGAUGGCGCCAGCAUCUGCUUCAGCGGCUGGCUGAGGCUACCCACCUUCAACCCGCUGCUCUGUCGUCGCGGCUCCAGGAUGAACCGCCUUCCGCGGCAGCGGGGGCCCUCUCCCUCGGGGUUAGGGCUCAGCUACGGCUACUACGACAACAGGAGGUCGAGGUCGUACUGCCCCAGAGCGGAAGGGAUCGUGAGGGGUGCCGUGAGGGACGCCGUCGCCGCGUACCCUGGCAUUGGCGCGGGGCUCAUCCGUCUCUUCUUCCACGAUUGCUUCGUCCGGGUACACACACAGCUCGUUGGUUCUAGCUCAUAUAUACUUACUGCAUUGUCGUUCAAGAAGAUCAACAUGUUCAUUAUAUAUAUUCAGGGGUGCGAUGCUUCCGUCCUCCUCACUACGACCAACUCCAACAACAGCGACACGGAGAGGGAAGGCCCUCCCAACAAGAACAGCCUCCGAGGGUUCGAGGUGAUCGACGCGGCCAAGGCGGCGAUCGAGGCCGCCUGCCCCGGCACAGUCUCAUGCGCCGACAUUGUCGCCUUCGCUGCCCGCGACGCGUCCUACUUCCUCAGCAACCGCAGGAUCAACAUCCGGAUGCCGGGCGGCCGCUACGACGGGCGCGAGUCCUUCGCCAACGAGACAGACCAGCUGCCCGGGCCCUUCUCCAAUGUCACGGAGCUCCAGGCGAGUUUCGCGGCCAAGGGGCUCACCUCUGACGAGAUGGUCGUGCUCUCCGGUGCACACACAAUCGGCCGCGCCCGCUGCAUGUUUUUCUCCAGCCGUCUCCCUGAGAUGGACCCGGCAUUUGCCGCCAAGCUCAGGGCCCAGUGCAACGGCAACGACGACACCAACGUAAACCAAGACGAUGUGACCCCAAACGUCCUGGAUAAGCGGUACUACCAGAACGUGAUCGACAGGAAAGUGUUGUUCACCUCAGACGCCGUGCUCAACUCGACGGAAACGAUGAUGCAGGUGAGAGAAAACGCGAACAGAGCAGGAGCGUGGGAGAGGAAGUUCGAGAGAGCAAUGGAGAAUAUGGGAAAAAUCGGGAUCAAGACCAGAGGCGACCAG